AGAUUCGGUUACCCGUGCGGUGAAGAAGCUAGCUGGAUAGUAAAAGUCCUGUUUUCGGUGGAAAUAAUAAGAGUGAUACUGUAUUCCAGAGGCCGUGAGCCAGCGUGAUCACUGUGAAGCCCAGUGUAGCAUUUGUUGCUUCACAUGGUCAGGUUUUUUCCUUUGCUUAUUUGGAUUGGAUUGGUUUUGAGGACCUGAGAAGAAUCGAGGAUCCCUUUUCCAGUACUGGAUGGCGAGCCCAGCCCAAAGAGCCGGAUGAACUGGUAGAUUGUAACCCGACUGGUUACAAACACACUGAGUGACUAUUGAACAUUGACAGACUGAAAUUGACUUU